AUGAACGCUGGCAGCGUGCCUAAUACAUGCAAGUCGAGCGAACAGACGAGGAGCUUGCUCCUCUGACGUUAGCGGCGGACGGGUGAGUAACACGUGGAUAACCUACCUAUAAGACUGGGAUAACUUCGGGAAACCGGAGCUAAUACCGGAUAAUAUAUUGAACCGCAUGGUUCAAUAGUGAAAGACGGUUUUGCUGUCACUUAUAGAUGGAUCCGCGCCGCAUUAGCUAGUUGGUAAGGUAACGGCUUACCAAGGCGACGAUGCGUAGCCGACCUGAGAGGGUGAUCGGCCACACUGGAACUGAGACACGGUCCAGACUCCUACGGGAGGCAGCAGUAGGGAAUCUUCCGCAAUGGGCGAAAGCUUGACGGAGCAACGCCGCGUGAGUGAUGAAGGUCUUCGGAUCGUAAAACUCUGUUAUUAGGGAAGAACAAAUGUGUAAGUAACUAUGCACGUCUUGACGGUACCUAAUCAGAAAGCCACGGCUAACUACGUG
rnacentral:rRNA from 1 species